rnacentral:rRNA from 1 species
AGCGAACGCUGGUGGCAGGCCUAACACAUGCAAGUCGAACGAACUCUUCGGAGUUAGUGGCGGACGGGUGAGUAACACGUGGGAACGUGCCUUUUGGUUCGGAAUAACUCAGGGAAACUUGUGCUAAUACCGAAUGUGCCCUUCGGGGGAAAGAUUUAUCGCCAUUAGAGCGGCCCGCGUCUGAUUAGCUAGUUGGUGAGGUAACGGCUCACCAAGGCGACGAUCAGUAGCUGGUCUGAGAGGAUGACCAGCCACACUGGGACUGAGACACGGCCCAGACUCCUACGGGAGGCAGCAGUGGGGAAUCUUGCGCAAUGGGCGAAAGCCUGACGCAGCCAUGCCGCGUGAAUGAUGAAGGUCUUAGGAUUGUAAAAUUCUUUCACCGGGGACGAUAAUGACGGUACCCGGAGAAGAAGCCCCGGCUAACUUCGUG